rnacentral:rRNA from 1 species
GCCUAACACAUGCAAGUCGAGCGGCAGCGCGAGUAGUUUACUACUUGGCGGCGAGCGGCGGACGGGUGAGUAACACGUUGGUACCUACCCCGAAGUGGGGAAUAACUGCCCGAAAGGGUGGCUAAUACCGCAUAAUACCGCAAGGUUAAAGCAGUAAUGCGCUUCGGGAGGGGCCUGCGUCCCAUUAGCUAGUUGGUAGUGUAAUGGACUACCAAGGCGACGAUGGGUAGCUGGUUCGAGAGGAUGAUCAGCCACACUGGGACUGAGAUACGGCCCAGACUCCUACGGGAGGCAGCAGUUAGGAAUCUUCCACAAUGGACGAAAGUCUGAUGGAGCAACGCCGCGUGCAGGAUGACGGCCUUCGGGUUGUAAACUGCUUUUAUAGAGGAAGAUUAUGACGGUACUCUAUGAAUAAGGACCGGCUAACUACGUGCCAGCCGCCGCCGUAA